rnacentral:lncRNA from 1 species
ACUAAAUGGAUGGUAUUGUUUGGGGUGUUGGGAGGAAGAGAAGGUUGCUCUUUUGCACCUCAAAGCAAAUAUAAACUUCCCUGAUGGAGAAUUGUUGCCCUCAUGGGUAGUUAAUGAGACUGCAAUUGACUGUUGUCAAUGGACAGGGGUUGAAUGCAGCAACACAACUAAACGAGUAAUCCAACUUAAUCUUUAUGGCGUCACGGAGAGGACAUUAGGAG